CACCAGCGCUCAGCUGAAAGCAGCCCUGUUCCCCACCAGGCCUCUAAGCAAAGCCUGCAGGGAGCCCCUGGUGCCUGGGUGGAAGCAGGCGAGAGGGUGAAAAGAUGAGAGGAGGAGUAGCAGCGGGCUCAGCACUAUGGGGCAGACCCUGGUGAGUGAGUCGCAGCAGCCCAGCAAAGCUGAGUACAACCAGUUUUUCAGACGAGUAAAUGGUGAAGCCCAUACAAACAGAAGAGAAGGAAAAAAGCAGAACUGAGGAUGCACUGGUGACUAACCAGCUGCUUUGCUGGAGAUGUUGACUUUUUACCUGGACUGGAAAUUACCCAGAGCAUUGCUUUCUUAAGAGGUUAAGUUUUAAACCACUCUGGACAACUGGCCUCAGGAUAGGCUGUGCUGGCCCUCAGCAUUCAGUUCAACAUACAGAGAGAGCUUUAAUGAUGAAAGGCACAUUUAAUGGACAAAGUCAAGCUGUGUGAGAAAGGGUUCUCCAGGUGUUAGGUGAAGAGGAUCUCAGAGUAGAACUAUUGCAGCCAAAUUUUAUUGUUCAUCCAUCUUGUUGCUACAGAAUUAAAUGCAACCACAUCUAUCAUCAGAAACCUUUUCCUCUAUUAAAAACUGUACAUCAGACAUUGAUUGAUGGGGCUAUACUGACUCAGUGAUGGAAGUGUCAGCAAUAUGUCUCAGAAAGGGAGCCAAAAGCAUGAGGAAUAGUUCAACUUAUGGGGUGCUGCUGCUAGAAAUCUAAGAGUUUAUGUAAAUCAACCCCAGACUUCACUGCGCAAGGAGAGAGGAGAACUUGAACAUCGCCAUGCAGAACGAUGUGGUCCCACCGCAUACUCGAGCGUGUUCAGUUUACUGUAAUACCCAAUCUGCCAAUAUUAAUUUCUUAAUGAAAAACUUACAUGUGGGAAACUACAUCACCAUCAAAGUGACAAAACCCACAUCCUGCUUAAAUUUCAUUCCCUUGAAUGACAUUUCCAUGGAAAAUCACUGGAAAGAGAACCAGAACUACAACAGAAGCAGACAAGGAAAAAGCACUGUGUUUGCUAAAACUGAAAGCAUGUCUUUCUUCAAAGAAGCCAGACCAACACUGUCACUAGGAUCUACUCACUAAAAAAAAAUACUAAAAACAAACAACAAAACCAGAGUCACUGAGGUUUUCUCUUGAAAAUAGAGACCACGUUUCUAAUGAAUACCUCUGAAACAGGUCUUUCUGUAGUAGGAGGGAAACAGUUAAAUUCUGAAUAUCCUAAAUACUCCCACCUUCCCUGCAGCUGAAGCUGUCUGCACAUAAUUUGAGAAAGUCGAAUUAAAGGAAAAGAAUACUGUAUACAUAACACGUUAAACUAUGAGUAUGAAAAGAAUGUAUGUGAAAAUCCUGCAUAUUUUUUGUU